ACCAAGGAUUUCAGCUUUCAAGAUGCUGAUCUUCUUAAACCAGAUAUUCUUGCACCCGGUUAUCUGAUAUGGGCGGCUUGGUGUCCAAAUGGAACAGACGAGCCUAAUUAUGUUGGUGAAGGAUUUGCGCUUAUAUCAGGAACCAGCAUGGCUGCACCACACAUAGCCGGGAUAGCUGCGCUUGUGAAG